AUGAACGCUAGCUACAGGCUUAACACAUGCAAGUCGAGGGGCAGCAUGGUCUUAGCUUGCUAAGACUGAUGGCGACCGGCGCACGGGUGAGUAACACGUAUCCAACCUGCCGUCUACUCUUGGACAGCCUUCUGAAAGGAAGAUUAAUACAAGAUGGCAUCAUGAGUCCGCAUGUUCACAUGAUUAAAGGUAUUCCGGUAGACGAUGGGGAUGCGUUCCAUUAGAUAGUAGGCGGGGUAACGGCCCACCUAGUCUUCGAUGGAUAGGGGUUCUGAGAGGAAGGUCCCCCACAUUGGAACUGAGACACGGUCCAAACUCCUACGGGAGGCAGCAGUGAGGAAUAUUGGUCAAUGGGCGAGAGCCUGAACCAGCCAAGUAGCGUGAAGGAUGACUGCCCUAUGGGUUGUAAACUUCUUUUAUAAAGGAAUAAAGUCGGGUAUGGAUACCCGUUUGCAUGUACUUUAUGAAUAAGGAUCGGCUAACUCCGUGCCAGCAGCCGCGGUAAUACGGAGGAUCCGAGCGUUAUCCGGAUUUAUUGGGUUUAAAGGGAGCGUAGAUGGAUGUUUAAGUCAGUUGUGAAAGUUUGCGGCUCAACCGUAAAAUUGCAGUUGAUACUGGAUAUCUUGAGUGCAGUUGAGGCAGGCGGAAUUCGUGGUGUAGCGGUGAAAUGCUUAGAUAUCACGAAGAACUCCGAUUGCGAAGGCAGCCUGCUAAGCUGCAACUGACAUUGAGGCUCGAAAGUGUGGGUAUCAAACAGGAUUAGAUACCCUGGUAGUCCACACGGUAAACGAUGAAUACUCGCUGUUUGCGAUAUACUGCAAGUGGCCAAGCGAAAGCGUUAAGUAUUCCACCUGGGGAGUACGUUCGCAAGAAUGAAACUCAAAGGAAUUGACGGGGACCCGCACAAGCGGUGGAGCAUGUGGUUUAAUUCGAAGCAACGCGAAGAACCUUACCAGGUCUUGACAUCCUACUAACGAGAUAGAGAUAUGUUAGGUGCCCUUCGGGGAAAGUAGAGACAGGUGGUGCAUGGUUGUCGUCAGCUCGUGCCGUGAGGUGUCGGCUUAAGUGCCAUAACGAGCGCAACCCUUGUUGUCAGUUACUAACAGGUUCCGCUGAGGACUCUGACAAGACUGCCAUCGUAAGAUGUGAGGAAGGUGGGGAUGACGUCAAAUCAGCACGGCCCUUACGUCCGGGGCUACACACGUGUUACAAUGGGGGGUACAGAGGGCCGCUACCACGCGAGUGGAUGCCAAUCCCCAAAACCUCUCUCAGUUCGGACUGGAGUCUGCAACCCGACUCCACGAAGCUGGAUUCGCUAGUAAUCGCGCAUCAGCCACGGCGCGGUGAAUACGUUCCCGGGCCUUGUACACACCGCCCGUCAAGCCAUGGGAGCCGGGGGUACCUGAAGUGCGUAACCGCGAGGAGCGCCCUAGGGUAAAACUGGUGACUGGGGCU
rnacentral:rRNA from 1 species